UGGGGAAUUUUGGACAAUGGGGGAAACCCUGAUCCAGCCAUCCCGCGUGUGCGAUGAAGGCCUUCGGGUUGUAAAGCACUUUUGGCAGGAAAGAAACGUCAUGGGUUAAUACCCUGUGAAACUGACGGUACCUGCAGAAUAAGCACCGGCUAACUACGUGCCAGCAGCCGCGGUAAUACGUAGGGUGCAAGCGUUAAUCGGAAUUACUGGGCGUAAAGCGUGCGUAGGCGGUUCGGAAAGAAAGAUGUGAAAUCCCAGAGCUCAACUUUGGAACUGCAUUUUUAACUACCGGGCUAGGGUGUGUCAGAGGGAGGUGGAAUUCCGCGUGUAGCAGUGAAAUGCGUAGAUAUGCGGAGGAACACCGAUGGCGAAGGCAGCCUCCUGGGAUAACACUGACGCUCAUGCACGAAAGCGUGGGGAGCAAACAGG
rnacentral:rRNA from 1 species